GCGUAACGCGUGGGAAUCUGCCCAACAGUACGGGAUAACCAAGGGAAACUUUGGCUAAUACCGCAUACGCCCUUCGGGGGAAAGAUUUAUGCGUGAUGGAUGGGCCCGCGUCGGAUUACCUAGUUGGUGAGGUAAUGGCUCACCAAGGCUACGAUCCGUAGCUGGUCUGAGAGGACGACCAGCCACACUGGGACUGAGACGCGGCCCAGACUCCUACGGGAGGCAGCAGUGGGGAAUAUUGGACAAUGGGGGAAACCCUGAUCCAGCAAUGCCGCGUGAGUGAUGAAGGCCUUAGGGUUGUAA
rnacentral:rRNA from 1 species